rnacentral:rRNA from 1 species
AUUGAACGCUGGCGGCAUGCUUUACACAUGCAAGUCGAACGGCAGCGCGGGGCAACCUGGCGGCGAGUGGCGAACGGGUGAGUAAUACAUCGGAACGUACCCAGAAGUGGGGGAUAACGUAGCGAAAGUUACGCUAAUACCGCAUACGUUCUACGGAAGAAAGUGGGGGACCUUCGGGCCUCAUGCUUUUGGAGCGGCCGAUGUCUGAUUAGCUAGUUGGUGAGGUAAAGGCUCACCAAGGCGACGAUCAGUAGCUGGUCUGAGAGGACGACCAGCCACACUGGGACUGAGACACGGCCCAGACUCCUACGGGAGGCAGCAGUGGGGAAUUUUGGACAAUGGGCGCAAGCCUGAUCCAGCAAUGCCGCGUGAGUGAAGAAGGCCUUCGGGUUGUAAAGCUCUUUUGUCAGGGAAGAAACGGCCGGGGUUAAUACCUCUGGCUAAUGACGGUACCUGAAGAAUAAGCACCGGCUAACUACGUGCCAGCAGCCGCCGUAAUAC